GAUGAACGCUGGCGGCGUGCUUAACACAUGCAAGUCGAACGAAGCAUUUAAAAGGAAGUUUUCGGAUGGAAUUUUAGAUGACUUAGUGGCGGACGGGUGAGUAACGCGUGGGUAACCUGCCUCAUACAGGGGGAUAACAGUUGGAAACGACUGCUAAGACCGCAUAAGCCUACAGUCUCGCAUGAGACAGAAGGAAAAGAUUUAUCGGUAUGAGAUGGACCCGCGUCUGAUUAGCUAGUUGGUGAGGUAACGGCCCACCAAGGCGACGAUCAGUAGCCGACUUGAGAGAGUGAUCGGCCACAUUGGGACUGAGACACGGCCCAAACUCCUACGGGAGGCAGCAGUGGGGAAUAUUGCACAAUGGGGGAAACCCUGAUGCAGCGACGCCGCGUGAGUGAAGAAGUAUUUCGGUAUGUAAAGCUCUAUCAGCAGGGAAGAUAAUGACGGUACCUGACUAAGAAGCCCCGGCUAACUACGUGCCAGCAGCCGCCGUAAGAC
rnacentral:rRNA from 1 species